rnacentral:rRNA from 1 species
CAGUCGCGUUUGCUUGGAAUCAGCCUUGCUUUUGCUUGGUGUACUUCCUUGUUAACGGGUCAGCAUCAAUUUUGACCAUUGGAUAAAGGCAUUGGGAAUGUGGCAUCUCAGGAUGUGUUAUAGCCCAUUGUUGCAUACGGUGGUUGGGAUUGAGGAACUCAGCACGCCGUAAGGCCCGGGUUUCGACCACGUUCGUGCUUAGGAUGCUGGCAUAAUGGCUUUAAUCCGACCCGUCUUGAAACACGGACCAAGGAGUCUAACAUAUGUGCGAGUGUUU